ensembl:lncRNA
AUACUGGUGUAAAUUUGUAUAUUUUUAUAUUUUUGUUUAUUUAUUUUUUUAUUUUUUUUUACUUUUUCCUAGUUUUUUGGUUCAUACCUUUCGUAAUCGCAGAGGCUCUAAACACACCACUAUCAGUUCACAUUCAUGAUACUGUUCUUGAAGGUACGUACAAUUCUUACUUUAUAAGCUUUAUUUGCUGAAAGAUUCCUUUAUUUUGGUCCUAGGUGAGUUAAUUUUGCAUGGUAGCAUGACAAGUGUGCAGGUUUAACAGUAAUGGAGUAACUGGGUGUACAGUACAGUAAAUAACACUGCCAUUAGAUUAAUUAUUUUGCAUGUGAAAUCUAGUUCAGCAGUCUAAAGUUAUUUAAAAUACAGGUCUAGAUUUGACUUGAAUCUAACAGAAAAACUGAGUUGCUGUUCAGUGCUGGCUUAACACCUAAUUUAUGUGCAUGAUACUAAAAUUAAGUUAAGGUUUAAAGUAGUGAUUGAUAGUAAUGAUUCUUUCUUUCCAUUUUUGUGGGAAGUACCUUUUAUAAGCAAAUAUUUUCUUCCUGCAGACCGUGUUGGACUGAUAUGUGUGACUGUAUUUCUACACAUUUUGACUAUGAUGUUACAGUUUCAUGUCAUAGCCUUCAAGUUUGAGGAACUUUUUUCAAGGUCCAUUUUGAACACUGUCAGGACUGUGGAAUCACAGAGUCAUGUGAUGUUGUACAUUUUUGGGACAGUGGCUCUCGUUUGUGUGAAUUCAAUUGCACUGGCAGCGGAGCUAAUCCUAAAAGCACGAAAUGGUGAGCGUACAGUGGAAGAUCUGCGAGCCAUUGUCAUCCCCCCUGAAUGUGUCUUUGCUCUGUGCUGUCUUACUCUACAUACAACUACAUUCUGUGAGUAUGAUCUACAAACAUAAAAACCCUGUGCUUAAUGUUUCUUAUAAAUUCAUAAAUUACCUGUAAAUAUUCUUAUAUAAAUCCAAACUCUUACUGAAUUAUUACUCAAUCUCAGACAUUAGUUUGGUUGAGACAUUGGUUUGAAUAUUGAAGUGGAUCAACAUGGCCUGAUACAAACAGCUCUGUAAUCCUUUAGAAAGAAAGUUGUAGAUGAAUCUAGGAUUUAAAAACAAUUAGAAAUCAGUCAUUAU